CCGGCGUUCGAAUCUGAUUCCUCGUGGGCCGCCACAGGCUCCUCAAUCCUCAUGGUCUGCGGGCGGCAGCAUGCCGAUCGGUCGGACCGGCCGACCGGAGGAUUUCCGGCACUCCACUAGCCCCACGCGAUCUGCCUGUCCCACGAGGCGAAUCAGUAGCUUCGCUCCGGCCUCCGGGGGCUCCGCGGCUCCGCUAGUCCGCUCCGGCGCCACGGCCCGGCUCGGAGGGGCGUUUCGGGGAGGGCGAAGCGGACGCCAGCGUUUCCGUUUGGUUGGCGUGGAGGCGAAGCUGCUGCUGGAGCGCUACCCGGGUUUCCUCCGUUCACUAGCGCUCGCGAUCUGAUGAUCGUUGGCUAGUUGCUCUGCCAGAGUCCCAGCCAGCGCUCCUCCGCCAUGAUCCAGGCGGUGAUGGUGAUCAGCACCCAGGCCAAGCCCCGCCUUCUCAAGUUCUACAGUUUCCAGCCACCCGAGAAGCAUCAGGACCUCGUCCGCUGUGUCUUCCAAUUACUCUCUGCAAGGCCCGAGAGCGCGAGCAAUUUUGUCAAGGUGGACUCCAUCUUUGGCCCGGGAACAAAAAUGGUCUACAAGCAUUUGGCCACACUAUACUUUGUUUUUGUCUUUGAUAGCUCUGAGAACGAGCUUGCCAUGCUCGACCUCGUACAAGUGUUUGUUGAAACAUUGGACAGAUGCUUCAAGAAUGUAUGCGAGCUUGACAUCGUAUUUAACUUCAACAAGGCAGCAGAAAAGGUGGGACACAGAAGCUGCAUCACCAUUUUUGACAGCACUGCACACCAUUUUGGAUGAGAUGAUAUCGGGGGGACAGGUGAUCGAAACAAGUUCAGAACAGAUAAUGAAAUCUGUGGAAGAGAUUGAAAGGCUGGAGAAACAAUCGAGCACAACCAGCUUCAUACCCAAGUCGAUUACAGAGCGUUUUACCCGUUGAGCUUCCACUCGUUUCCAGAACAAUGUGACAUUUAAGGUGUGAACAGAACUGAGAUAUACUAUUCAGUCUCAUUUUAGUUCUCCGAUAAGACCUUGUAUGCCCCCGCCCCCCGGCUGUAUUCUGUAAGCCUGUAACCUGGAUAUGAAUGCGGCAUCUGCAGUCCAAUAAUACUGCCUGCGUUAUAUGCUUGAUCGUCUGACA